GCCCAGCUAGCUUAGUUGGUAGAGCAUGAGGCUCUUAAUCUCAGGGUCGUGGGUUCAAGCCCCACAUUGGGUA